AGAGAACUCUGCUGGCGCUCUAAAAUGGGGUUCAGCUCUUGGAGCGAUCAUCUUCAUCCUGUGCCUCGCCAUCUGUGUUUGGUGCUUGAAGUCCAAACGUCAAACUCCACAACCAACUCAGAGUCCAAAUGGUGAAGAUCCAGCCAGCAAAAGAGAAGAAGACAUCCAUUAUGGAGAGAUCAGCUUCUCCAAUCAGAGAGCUGAAGCGUCCUCGUCCUCAGAGCAGGACAGUGGACAGCAGCAGGAGACGCUGUAUGCACAGGUCAAAGUGUCCAAGACAGCAGAGAAGCCAGACGUCCCCGAGGAUCUCUACGCUCAAGUGAAGAAACACUGAGUCUCUCUUCUCAUCAUGUUGGGUUGGAUUAUUCAUAAUAUUGCCAUUUUUGGCUUCUUUUAUUUUCACUCUUAGUUCAUGUUGAAAAGGACACAGAAGCCUGUGCAGGAAAUUACACCUUCACAGUUAAAUAAAGAGGAAGUCUAAACCUCCUCAGCACCCUGCAGCACAGACAGCUUUGCACUUCCUCAUUAUAUAAUCUAUGUUUGUGGCUUAACUCAUACAGCUGUUGCUGUGUAAUGAUAUCUUACAUAUCUACAUGCAUCAAUGCUUCUAAAUGACAACAUGAUAAUGAUUUACAAUCACUUCAUAGUAUAUAGUUGUUUUGUAAUGUUUAUGUAAUUUUGUGAUAUUAUACAGGUAUUUUUUAACAAGACAUGUUUAAUAUCCUUUACUUAUCUAUUCUGUUUCCUUCAUAUUUUGUAACCAGCAUGUUUUUGUUCUUUAUUUGCUUCAUAAAUAAACUUGAGACCGAAAUUCUGCAUUUGAGGAUAUUUAUUCAUUGCACUGUAAUAAAAACCAUGGCAUACAACUUCUAAAAAUACCUAUUAAUCUCAGUUGCAUUUAUUGGUCCAACAUUUCACAUAUUGUGUGUAAACAUCACCUGAAAUCAUACAAGUUAAUCACAAACAUUACAAAAGUGGCAAGAUGAAUUAUGCAUAGUAAUCCCCACAAGAAAUCUGCUACAAUGUUUUGAGUAGCUAAUGGCCCUGUGAAAUAUAUUUAUUUUAUAUUUAUCAAUUCAAAAUAAAGGGCGUUUAAUGAGACAUAGUGUAUUAAAAGAGCUG